AUUCCUUGGACUUAUCGUUUAAGCAUAUAACAUUUAUAUGAGACGGCUCAAACAAUAAUCUUUGCCCUUUAUAGUUAAACUAGAUUAGUUUAACAUGUGAAAUGUCCGUAAAGUAUCAUCAUAUGAUUGGUUUUAGGGCACACUUCCAACAAAAAUAAGCCAUUUUAACAAAUGGAACUUCAUAAUGGAUGAAGUACUAAUCAUAUGAAUGAUUGUUAGUAUUGUACUACAAUGGUCUCAAAGGUUGGAGCAAAGUUUGUAUAAAGUAUACAAACGAAAUAUAUGUUGAUAUAUAGUUUUAGAAACUGCUUCAAAAGGUGUUUUGAAUGGAAGGGGUUCUUUUAGAACCAAUGAUUGAAUCCAAACUAUAAGGUCGUUAGUAGGAUACUACGACGUAAUGGGGCGAUAGCUCAAGCCAUGGAAUCAAGGUCUCAUCAAAGUAUUCGAACACAAUAAAGAGACAUCAUCAAAUGUUUUGGAAACAUUUGAUAAGAAAAUCCAUUUUAAAUAAUAAAAGGGAUUAAUACAUAACCAAGUUAACCUACAAGCAUAAGCUCUCUCAACAAGAUGUAUAAGAUACACUAGUGAUUGACUUUAGUGCAAGUGGGAGAUUGUUGGAAAUAUGCCCUGAAAGUCAACCUUUGAAAGAAACCUUUCAGGACAAACGAAUCGAUGUAUGGAUGACUCUUAUACAUCAAAUGGCAAAGACACGAAUUAGGACUAUCUCAAUAAACGAUAUAUGUCCUAAAUAGUGUAUCCAUGGAUAAUGGAUCGAUUGAAGAAGUAAUCUAAUGAUGUUAGACUACAGAGACCUUCUUCACAUAACCAUUAUGU
rnacentral:lncRNA from 1 species